rnacentral:lncRNA from 1 species
CUGUAUCUGUCCAGGCUGGCAGCCCUAAAUCACAAAAUUCUGGGGAUUUCCGGGCGUGCACUGAAGUCACUAUUCAGAACACCAAGGAGCCAAGACAGGAGGAAGAGAAAGUUUUGGAGAUGGGCAGCCGCCAGUUCAUAAGUGUCUUAGAUCUAGAGGAAAGGAGGCACCAUAAGGAUCUUCCAUUCAUCCACCCUCCUUCACCUACAUCUGCUCAGCUUCAUGUUCUUGCAACCUCUGUUAUCAGGAGUGAUGAUGUCAGUGCCGAUCCGCAAGCAUCAGUCACAAUUCCAGAGCAUCUCCUGAAACCCACGACUCAACCAGAUAUUCCCGAGGAGUCCCCUUCAGUCAGCCACAUUGAGCCCAGCAGGGUUUUCGAGAGAAACACUCCAAACAACAGCGAGACGGUUGAUUUGUCUGACUCUGAGAUCCUUCAGGCUAUAAAGACCCAGAGCUCUGAACCACCCAGAGUCUCCUCUUCAUCUCCUAUAGUCUGGUUCUCCUCUUGCCUCUCAGAGCUGGAUUCCAAGUUGGCUGCUCUACAGAACAUUGCAGAUCAUUUGGAGAAGGACUUCUCAAACUCCAGGCUGGUUAACACUAUUGAAAAGCACAAGCCAGAGAAGGCUCCUUUUGUGAAGACGACCACAGCAGUAAAGAAAGCUGUCAGACUCACUGUCCCUAAGAAAGCAUGGGCACCUGAUGUGGACAUUUUACCUGAACUGAGUGAAUCCCAAGAAGAUGAUGAAAAUCAAGAAGAGGAGUUUGUGUUUGAUUCCAGUCCUGAAAGAACACCUUCUUUUCAUUAUUCCACUUCUCCUCACGGUCACAGAGCUGGUCUUUCCCACCUAAACAGCCCACCAAGAAUGGAAGCUCAGUUAAAUGAAACAUUCAUGAUAUCUCAUGCAUCGCCAGAUGAGAGUCUGGGUCAGACUGAGCUAUCCGAUACAGCAGAAAUCUUAGACGAGUUGAUAAGAGAAGGCUAUUUAUCUCAGACUGACUUGGAUUUGUCCACCUCACAGACUCCACACCGUAGCAGCAGGCAGGACCAACUGCAGAGUAGCUCCAUGUCGCAGAAUCGUGCAGAGGAUGAGAGAAGAGAGCUGAGGAUGUGGAUGAGAAGAAGACAGAGGGAAAGACUGGCUGCUUAUCAAAAACACAGAGAGACCCUGAGAGAGAGGGAGCACAAACCUUUCUCUUCUUCAGCAGCAGUGUAUUCGGCAACCAAAAAUAGAGCAACCAGUUUGAGAAGCAGAGAGGAAAAAGAAAAGGCCCUGCUUCUUGAGCAGUACAACAAGGGGACCCGUGAGGCUUUUUCUUUGGUCAAUGACUUUCUCACCUCUCCUGCAUCCACAUUAAGCUUGUCACAGACUGAAGGACCUCAGGUGGCCUCCACCACACACUCUUCCUUUGCUCCUCCCUCAGGCAGCACUCACAGGGUUGACAGCAAUAUCAAUAAUAAAAGAAGUCUGAAACCCCAGUCAGGACAAACCCCAGCCAGCCGUCACCCACAAUUUGCUGAAGUGCAGGUACGGCCUUCUGACGAUUACCACAGGAGACUGGGACUACACCGACCAGUGACCUUUUUGCCAAAGGACCGCUUGUCUCAGGUGACCAAACGUGGUAUGCUCAAGAGCCCAAGUAAACUUCCUGCAGCGAGCCACAGUAAGGAACAGCAUGUCAGGUACCAGAGAAAGACGGAAGUGAACAGAAGUUCUUCAGAAGGAACUGCAGUAAGGAGAGGGAUCCUGAGGGAGCAGACAAGGCCGGAAGAGCGAGAAGAGAUGGACCGAUCAGGGUUCAAUAGGCUGCAGGAGGAGUUGCAGUAUAACAUAGCUUUGGCAGGGCUUUUGGAUGAGCAUGGUGAUGCUUCCAGAUCAGAGAUGGACUGGCUGGAUAAUCUCUCUGAGAGUGGAAGCAGCAACCUGAGCAAAAUAGACUGGGAAGCUAUUGAGAGGAUGGCGGCUGGAGAGGAAGUCUGAGUGUCUCUAGGAAAGCAAAAAUGGUGCCAUGUAGACACUUAAAUAGCUUAAAAUAUUGCUGGAAAAAUGAAAUGUGCUGCAUUUGUAUGUACCUAUUGCAUAUACUGUAAAUCCAAAGUGUUUUAAACUGUGA